rnacentral:rRNA from 1 species
UACGUAGGGGGCAAGCGUUGUCCGGAUUUAUUGGGCGUAAAGAGCGUGUAGGCGGCCUGAAAGGUCAGCUGUGAAAACUCGAGGCUCAACCUCGAGACGUCGGUUGAAACCAUCUGGCUAGAGUCCGGAAGAGGAGUGUGGAAUUCCCGGUGUAGCGGUGAAAUGACGCAGAUAUCGGGAAGAACACCCGUGGCGAAGGCGGCACUCUGGGACGGUACUGACGCUGAGACGCGAAAGCGUGGGGAGCGAACAGG